GUUUGACACAUUUUUAAUUUCAAACAACUUCGCCGCGUCUGAACUGCCGAUGUUUUGCUGCGCUGAUCUGCAUUUAAAUUCCAGUGUGGCUAACAUAUGAAAUCCCUUCGGUGAGUAUGUCAGAGCUUCAGUCAGCGCCGUGAAGUUAUAAAACACGUCAGUCCUAGUAGAUGUGAGCAGCUUUAUCCCAAUGAAAAUCGCUGCUUUUGGCAAGAAUGGAUACGUUUAUUUUAUGUUUUAUUUUUUACCAUCGUGUCACGUUUGCCACUGUGCUGCUGUUUGCAAGCCUGGAUACAACGAGACAAGGUCAUGUUGAGAUGCUGAUGUGUGAAUAAAUCUUCUUCUUAGCAUCAUUACCACAUGCAGCGUCUUCAGGACCAAACACAGAGCAACAAGGUGGUUUGCUCCACAGGUUUGGUCCUUGGCACCCUGGAGCUAACUAGCUGCUUGCUACUGUUAGCACCAGUUAAUGGUUAGCAAGCAACAAGUAAAAAUUCCUAAAUCACCUUGUGCUGCGUUCACAUGCUCCUCAGAUUGUCGGAUGUCGUUCUUCCGAUUUCAGUUUGCUCAUGAGCAUCAUGUCGGAACGUGGCAGCAACACGGACACCAAAAACAAGCUGUUUUGUAUUUUAUCGCUCUGAACAUGAAGAAAAACAUUCACAUUGACAACUGUUUCUAGUAUUUGAGUGAUUUUUUUUUUUACGACAGCACUUGAACAAUUUCCUUCCCUCUUGUCAAACUGGCUUGGUAACAUUUAAAUGACAUUUUAAUGACAAGUCUAAAUUGCACCACUUUAGUUGAGAUCAAGAUAAAUAAUCCAAUGGUUUCAUUACAGCUAAUGUCAAAACCACACGACAGCUUAAUGUAAUGUGAACACAGAUCAACAGUUUGAUCGCUGGGCCUCGCUCUGACAUGUUUGUGUCAUAAAUAUUCAUAAAUCGGAUAAAUUGUUUCCGAUCUUAGCUCACUGGACAGUAAAUACCAUGUGUUUCCAUUUCCGGGCUUCUUCUCUCUCUCUCCUCUCCUGGCGACUCGCAGGAGCCGCCGUCCCAGAGUGCCUUGUGUGCGCGAGCCCUCAUUUACACUUAGGUCAGAGUUCAGGCUGCUGGAUCAGAGAUGAAUUGGCCGUCAGAGGAGCGCUGUCGCUCGCCCUGAAGUCCUGCUGGGCGGCCAUCUGUCUGCGGGUUGAGGCAGACGAGCCCUGCUGCCUGCAGUCCUACAGACGAAGGCUUUGGCUCGGUAGGAUUGUUCAUUUGAGACAGUUAUUGCAGAAAAACUGGAUUAAUAACACUUUCCCCUCCUUGAGACAUGCUUUUGCAGUUAGCUUCAGCUGAGCGGAACUGAAUCUCCCACAGGUUUCUCAGCUGCCAUGUUGAGUCUGACCCCAGGCAGGUUAUACUGAUAUUAUUUGAUAUUUAUGAAGACAUAAUUUUCCGUCUCUCAACGACUCAGUUGUUGUAGGAGCCAGAUGUGAGUCCACUGAGGGAGAGAAACAACGUCUGGCUCAGUUUUUGCUUCUCAUUCUGCUUCAGUUAUCCUCCGUCGUGUUGUAAUUAAAAAUGAAUGAUGAAGUACGUUAAAGUGUAAACUUUUAUCAGGCCAUUACAACAAAAUAAAGAUGUGCGUGUCUCUUUUUAUUAAAGCUGUGUAAAACAAUAUAACGGCUGUUGUGUGAUGUGAUGAAGUGAAACAGAAAAUGAUCACCUGACUCUGCCGUUCCCUUCACCUGUACGGAGCUUUGAGCCUCUUUUAGCUUGUUGUUUUGGUCUUUGUGGCUUUUACAUCUCAGCUCAGUCUCCAGCUGCAGCUGUUUUCAGUGAUUAACGUCUAAACCAACUGCAUAUGACAUUCUACAAAUGGCAGAUGGACAAAUUCAGUGACUUGAUGUUGAGCUCUUCCUCUCCCAGACCAGAGGUGAGUCUGUCUGAUGAACCAAAAGUCAACGCAAUCACUCCAGAAGACAUCUUGGAAAUGUAUGUUUCUGCAAAACAACAGCUUUGCUCAAAGUUUACAUUUCUUCAUGUUGCAGCUUUAUGUUUCUCCACUUAGCUAGGGUGAGGAAAAGAUCAUGAUUUGGUUUGAAGUACCUGGUUUGAUUGCCACAACCUCAGCAGGAGAUCUCCUGACCGCGAGGUGUUAAUAUGAAAACUCCUCCGCUCCUCCAGGCUGCCAUUUUCACAGGGAGAAAAGACGCUGACUUGACCUCUGACCCCGACAGCAAGUGGCUCCGUCUGAACUUACAGGAUUUCCUCGAGCGCUGCCCAGCCAGCUGUCCGUGUUCCAGCACGCAACAAAAAAGGGGGGCACGGGAAGCCUCGAGAUACACUGGACAAGGUGGUAAAGACGCCGCUGAGCUCACAGAAGGGUUCACAACCGAAAAACAGCUUGCGUUGGCUUCACUUGCUGCAGUCGAUCAUUUAUUUAUAAUGAGGCGACUGUGUGCUCACAGUCGGGGGGACCGACAUCGAGGGCUCUGGCAAAAUAACGCAGGGAUGUCUGGCAAAAAACUGUUGAACCAGGUUCAACAAUCGGGGCGUCUUGGCUGACAGAAGUGCACAUUUCAUCCACUCUCACACGUUCCCUCCCUGCUCCUGUACCAACUCUCCUGUUGCUUCAGAGCCAUUAACACCCACCAGCUCUGCAUUAGCCCCCAUACCUGCAUCCUCGCCCACCUGAGAACCUGUUCCCACCCUCCAAACCCUUCCCUACCUGAUGGUGAGCCUGGACGUGCUCAGACUGCAGGAGGAUCCUCCGUCCUGAGAGACCAGGGAGAUCGCUGCAGAUGAGUUUUGACAGAAUAUCGACUUUGGAUGCCGACAGCGCCAAGAUAUUCUAUGAAUAAGAUUUCAGGGAAGAACUAAUGAAAGACUGUAAAGGAACGAAACGAUCCUGAUGAAACUGUUGCUGCUUCCAGCCCUUUGUUCUCAGUGGCCCAGGGGGACCUGAGGUUUCUUUUCCCGCUCUGCCACCAGGAGGCGCCAAAGUUGGACAUUUUUGAAUAUUACAAAUAGUGACUUUAAUUCAGUAAUCUUCAGGAUUUCAGUACGUGCAUCAAAAAGCAAAGAGUGAGUGAAAAAUCUUGUAUAUGUACGAGUCGAGUUUGAGCAAUAAUUCCUAACAAAAUAUAUUAAAAAUGCAUCUAAAGCGAAUCACUUGUUUAUGAGUUAUUUUCCAAUUUUCC